CCAAUAAUUGCUUAAUAUUUUCAGCAAACUCAUUACGCUUAUUUGUGCAUGGCGUGUAUACACUUGACACGCGUGUGUUAAACUAACUGAAAUAUCCCGAAAGCGAAGCAACGGAACGAAAAACUGCAAAAGAAGUUACUCUAUAGAUUUUUAUAGUUCUUUCGAAUAAGACAACAAAAAUUUUCGUUUCAUAUGCACUUUGCAUGAGUGUACCUAUAAUUAAACAUUUUGGAAUGUUUAUGUGGUUGUCAUGCAUAUAGCUAGCAACACACUAAAUACCAG
rnacentral:lncRNA from 1 species